rnacentral:rRNA from 1 species
CCUACGGGAUGCACCAGUGGGGAAUAUUGCACAAUGGGCGCAAGCCUGAUGCAGCCAUGCCGCGUGUAUGAAGAAGGCCUUCGGGUUGUAAAGUACUUUGAGCGGGGAGGAAGGUGUUGUGAUUAAUAACCACAGCAAUUGACGUUACCCGCAGAAGAAGCACCGGCUAACUCCGUGCCAGCAGCCGCGGUAAUACGGAGGGUGCAAGCGUUAAUCGGAAUUACUAGGCGUAAAGCGCACGCAGGCGGUCUGUCAAGUCGGAUGUGAAAUCCCCGGGCUCAACCUGGGAACUGCAUUCGAAACUGGCAGGCUAGAGUCUUGUAGAGGGGGGUAGAAUUCCAGGUGUAGCGGUGAAAUGCGUAGAGAUCUGGAGGAAUACCGGUGGCGAAGGCGGCCCCCUGGACAAAGACUGAAGCUCAGGUGCGAAAGCGUGGGGAGCAAACAGGAUUAGAUACCCUCGUAGUA